rnacentral:tRNA from 1 species
UUGGGGAUAGCUCAGUGGUAGAGCGCUUGCCUAGCAGGCGCAAGGCCCUGGGUUCAACCCCCAGCUCUGGAA